GACUGAAAACCCCUUCCACCUGAAGUCUGUGGAUAGUUAAUACAAUGUUAAACAAAGAUUUUUGUUUAACAUUGUAAUAACUAUCCACAGACUUCAGGUGGAAGGGGUUU